AAUACACAUGAGAAAUUCGGACUAUCCAGUCCUUCGAU
rnacentral:sRNA from 1 species